UGCUGAUAUGGCUCAGUUGGUAGAGCGCACCCUUGGUAAGGGUGAGGUCCCCAGUUCGACUCUGGGUAUCAGCACCAC
rnacentral:tRNA from 37 species